CCUACGGGUGGCUGCAGUGGGGGAUAUUGCACAAUGGUGGGAACCCUGAUGCAGCGACGCCGCGUGGGUGAAGAAGCGCCUCGGCGCGUAAAGCCCUUUCAGCAGGGAAGAAAAUGACUGUACCUGAAGAAGAAGCCCCGGCUAACUACGGGCCAGCAACCGCGGUAAUACGUAGGUGGCAAGCGUUAUCCGGAUUGACUGGGGGUAAAGGGGGCGCAGACGGCGAUGCAAGCCAGGAGUUAAAGCCCGGGGCCCAACCCCGGGACUGCUCUUGGAACUGCGUGGCUGGAGUGCAGGAGGGGCAGGCGGAAGUCGUGGUGUAGCGGUGAAAUGCGGAGAUAUCAGGAGGAACACCGGUGGAGAAGGCGGCCUGCUGGACUGCAACUGACGUUGAGGCCCGAAAGCGUGGGGAGCAAACAGGAUUAGAUACCCGAGUAGUC
rnacentral:rRNA from 1 species